UACGUAGGGUGCGAGCGUUGUCCGGAAUUAUUGGGCGUAAAGAGCUCGUAGGCGGUUUGUCGCGUCGGCCGUGAAAACUUGGGGCUUAACCCCAAGCUUGCGGUCGAUACGGGCAGACUUGAGUUCGGUAGGGGAGACUGGAAUUCCUGGUGUAGCGGUGAAAUGCGCAGAUAUCAGGAGGAACACCGGUGGCGAAGGCGGGUCUCUGGGCCGAUACUGACGCUGAGGAGCGAAAGCGUGGGGAGCGAACAGG
rnacentral:rRNA from 1 species